rnacentral:rRNA from 1 species
UACAGAGGCCCCAAGCAUUAUCCGGAAUCACUGGGCGUAAAGGGUGUGUAGGCGGUUGUGUUAGUCUCUCGUUAAAGCAUUUGGGCUUAACCCAGAUAAUGCGGGAGAAACGGCACGACUUAGAGGUUGCGAGAGGUAAAGGGAACUCAUAGUGUAGGGGUGAAAUCCGUUGAUAUUAUGGGGAACACCAAAUGCGAAGGCACUUUACUGGCGCACACCUGACGCUGAGACACGAAAGCGUGGGAAUCGAACGGG